CCCUUUUCACUGGGGUGUCUGGGUUCUAGGGCACCGAUCUCUGCAAGUUCCCAACGCCCGGAGGGGCAGAGGGCGAGCCGGAUGGGACGCAGCCAGCCACUGUACGGCCUGUAAUCCACUCUUACCCCCCAACUACAGAGUUAAUGACCAAGGUCCAGGAGGAACCUGUUCUCUGAACUAGAAGGUAUGCUUAACUUCUCUGCAAAGAAUACCUAUGGCACAGGUAGCCAAGAGGAUGUCAUGACAAUUCAUGUCAAAUGUCUGCUUACCACACAUGACAGGCACAUGGUAAGACCUCAGUAAAUGUCAGCUUCUAUAAUAAUAAAGUAUGUUAUUGUACGGGAAUUCCCUGGCAGUGCAGUGGUUACGACUUGGUACUCUCAUUGCUGCGGCCCUGGGUUCAAUCCCUGGACAGGGAACUAAGAUCCCAUAAGCCACAAAAACAACUUAUUGCAAAUCAACUAUAUACUUCAAUUAAAAAAUAUGGAUAGAUAGAUAUGUUUAUGACUGUCAUGUUUGUAAGACAGUGAGUUCCCCAUUACAGGAGAUGCUCAAGCACAAGCUAAUGGGAAAGGGCAGAGAAGGCUCAAGCACUGGCUACAUAAUUAGACUACAUGACCUUUAAGGUACUUUCUUCCACUUUUGCGAUUACGUGUUUCUUAAAAGCAGGAGAGGAGGGAGGGGGAGGGAGCAAGAGCCACUGUUCCUCCACAGGCACGCAUUUCCUGACAUUUUUGUUUUUAGGGCAAAGGACUAAUCUCUUGAUCCCGUGUUUCUCAAAUCCUUGAGCCUCAUCCAAGAAUGGCGGGUUCACCUCCCAGAGGGACAAGAGUUAUGGCAGGGGUGACUGUGGCCUUAUAGUGACCUCUUAUAACUCACAAAACAACCCACCCACACCAGACUGCUAUGCCUUGGUUUAAAGAAUAACAGUCAUAAUUUCUAUCACAAACUUGCAGUUAAUCAUGGCAGGCUGGAUGCAGUACAAGCAUUUAUUGCUGUUUCUCCCCCAAAGCUAGGCAUGAUGACAGUAAAGGAAUUACAAAGAAAAAAAGAUGGAAAGAUGGAAAACUACAAAGACAACAAGAAGAGAGGAGACAACAGCAGGUAAAAGAUGGAAACAGCAUUCUGGAAGACAAAAGGAGGACGGAGGAGCAGUGACUAAUCCGCAGAGCAGCAGGAGCAGCCGGUGAGGAGGGCAGCCAGGAGGGAGCGGGCCCACUAGCGCUGCAGGUUCUCCAGAAGCUGGGGGACCGGCAGCACCAGGCGCCUCUACGUGCAGGGAGUGCAGCUGGGGUUAGAAAUGGGUGGCUCCUUUGCGAGAGGAAAUAAAGAAGAGUUUGGCUCUGGCGUGCCCUGGUGUUACCUCCCCUGGUUCUCAGCCUGCCCCCAGGACCUUUCCCUAGAUCAGCUCCCAGAACACUAGCUUUGACCAGCCCCAUGAGAAAAAGGCUGGGGUGUCCUCUUGAAGCAAAACGAGCAGCCCAAGAAAAGCACACUCAGGAGCCUCAAGUGGGAAGCCCCAGCGGAACCAUCUGACUACCCUUCAGUAAGCUCAGCCACUGACUGAUUCACGUGGAGUUCACGUGGGUGAACUCCGGGAGAUGGUGAGGGACAGGGAGGCCUGGCGUGCUGCAGUCCCUGGGGUCGCAAAGAGUUGGACACAACUGAGCGACUGAACAACAAUAACAACUGAUUCAGAGAGCUUCAUCCACUUUUUGGAGCUGCUCUCUUCACUGUGAAUGGACAGCCAAGGAGUCCCAGUCAUCUGAGGGAAGCCCCGAACAGGAAACAUAAAGUCCAACGGGAAGAGGAGCUCAGAGGAAACAGUGUUCAGGGGGAAGAGACACCACAAAACCAAACGCAAGAACCAAACCCCAUGCUUCAGAAAAGGAAAAUGAGGCCAAGAACAGAACAAGAAGUGCUUAAGAAUGUCUUAAAUUAAAUGAAGGAGACAAAAGUUAACUUCAGAAAACCUCUCCUAGAAAGCACACAAAAAAGGAGACAAAACAUGAGAAAAUUCGAAGGUCGACUCAUGAUGUCCAACUGCGAACAACAACAAAUUCCAGAAAGAGAACAAAGAGGACAGAGGGGAGAAAGUGAUGACAGGGGACACAAAAACAUCUUCCAGAACUGAAGAGAUCUUCAGAUUAAAGUGUCUACCGAGUGGGAGCAAAAUGAAUGAGAAUGGACCAGCCUCAACUACUGAUAUUGUGGCAGCCAGCCCAACCACCCACCCCCGUGAGACCCAAAGACACAACUUAAUGAUACAGACACAAAGCUAAGCUAACAACGAGGGAGGCAUUUACUAACUUCCUAAGAAAACCAGAAAAUUACCCAAGGAAGAAAUGAAAAUCAGAGGAGAUGACAGGGUUCACAUAUAUAUGUAUGCAUGGCUGAGUCCCUUUACUGUUCACCUGAAGCUUUCACAGUGUGUAUCAAUCGGCUGUACCCCAAUACUAGAGAAGGAAGUGGUAACCCACUCCAGUAUUUUUGCCUGGAAAAUUCCAUAGACAGAAGAGCCUGGCAGGAUACAGUCCAUGCAGUUGCAGAGUUGGACAUGACUGGGCUAAUGUAUGUAUACCCAACACAAAAUAAAAAGUUCAAAAAAAAAAGAAAAAGAAGGGAUUGCAAGGGGCUACUUCUGGGGCCACAACCGUGGGGAUAGGGCAGAAGAAGCCAGUGUCUUCCUCAUAAGUGUGGGAUGCUACCUGAGCGUAAGACCUAUAAAAAUACUUGUGGGGUGAUGGUACUGACUGCGGUGCCGGUUUCACGAAUGUCCAUCUGCAAACUCCUCAAGGUGUACACGUUAAACAGGCGCAGCUCUUUGUACGUUAGACCUCAAUAAAGUGGCCUUUUUAAAAAAUGAAAAAAAACAACUCUGAAAAUAAAACUUUAAUAAAAAUAUUUUUAGAAAGAGGAAAAACAAGAAAGGAAAGCGACACGUGAGCCAGAAGUACAGUCAGCACAAAGGUCCCACACAGCUGCUAACGGGGUCAGAACAUGUCCCCCGCAGUGGUUUUGCUUUCUCUUCCACCACCAACUAUUUUAAAAAUUCCAAUUCCAAGGAGGGAUUUCUGCAUUUGCAGUUAUCUUGGACAAUAUAGAUCAUCCGAACUUUUGGCACAGUUAUCCACAGAAUGGAAACACAAAGACAAGCGCUGUGGACGGGAAGAGGACUCUGUAAGGACGCGUGCCCUCGAGCUGAGGACCUGAGGGAGGCAGCUCAGCAGACCCUCCGGACAGCCUGCCAGCACCAGGAACUCCAAUUCGACCCCAAGAGGCUGUCAGCCAGCGUUUCCAUGACCCUGGGGUAUUCUGGCCGGCCUGGCAGCAACAGGACUCAGGUGACCACAAGAUUCAAGGCUUCUCUCUUACACUGUUAGAAUCGCCAGAGCUCUGGACAUUAAAACCUACCGCUUCCUGAAGAUCUUUAGCAGAAGAAGUAGGACUUGUGUCCUACUUCCAAAAUCCUGCCACUUCCCUGAAACUGCAGCUGAAUGAAUAACUUAAACAUCUGCCUUCAACAGGAACUCACUCAGCAAACCGCUGCAACCAGUGAGUCAGCCUGGAAGUGUCACCCUGGAGGGUAGAAUCCAUUCCCCACGGGGCUCCCCCUCUAAGGAAGCGCCCAUGGGCCCACUUUCCACCGAGACCAGCACAGUGCAGUGGGAGCACCAGUGCGGUGGGGGCCCCUCGGACCUGGGCCUGCGCCUCACCGGAGGCCCCGCUGGAGAGCCAGGCACGGCUGUGCAAAGCUCUGCCUGCCAGACACCCAGGCUCCAUGCCAACCCUCCCAGGGCAAGGAGGGAGAAAUGGAUGACGGUUCCUAUGAAACAGAGCUUCCUGCCUCAUUUUUAGCCCCAAGAGGCAGGAGGGAGACCCCGACGGCAUUUAGAGGGAGGAGAAGCGGCAGAGUGACUGACUGCUACAGCUCCUCCUCCAGACUGACUGUGUCACCUGCAGGCUGUGUGACCCUGCGCCCGGCCUUGAACUCCCAGCAUCUCUACCUCCUCACCUGAGUGUGGGGGUAACAGCGGCACCCCCUCACAGGGGUUGUGAGGACCACAGGAGAUGGGCCGAGACCUGGAGAAGCGCUCCGAAUGAUGCCUCACACAUGGGUGCCUGAGUGCUGUUUACCAAGUGUCUCCUCAGAGGGAGUCUUGCAGGCAGGCAGCCCCAAAUUCCUCAAAGGAGGCAAGAGGGGUGCUAGGUCUUCAGGCUCCCAUGGAGCAGCAGACAGCUCUCCUUCUGGGAACCAUGCCAAGCCAGAAAGAAAAAAAAAAAAAGGCGGGGGCAAAGGCUCCAAACUCUAAAAUAGCUCCAACACUGUUAAAGAGGGGUUGUGGUGUGCGUUUCGCUGCUGUCCUCUGUGAGUUUCGUGCAUGCUAUUCGUGGACCAGCCCGGCCUGCCUCCGCCUCCCGGGGCCACCUCCGCCUCUGCAGCCCAGCACGGUUCCCCCACCCGGCUCUGGAGGACCGCUGCGGCAACUGUAUUACUCACUUGGCAUUCAGCACAGCCCGCCAUAUCUGUCUCUCUGGAUAUGCCAAGACCUCGACUAGACUGCAAGUUCAAGAGCACAGGCUGCUUUCUUCCUUGUAGUUCCCAUAUCGCCUGGCAUUAGACCUUACCCACAGUGGACGCUGACAUGUUCCUAGAACCACAGGACGGUGCCUUCAGUCAGCUGCCCCGGCACGACAGUCUCCUAGCGAACAGCCCCCGAGUCUCCUCGGGCCUCCCACUUACCU